UACGGGGGGGGCGAGCGUUGUUCGGAAUUACUGGGCGUAAAGGGCUCGUAGGCGGCCAACUAAGUCAGACGUGAAAUCCCUCGGCUUAACCGGGGAACUGCGUCUGAUACUGGAUGGCUUGAGUUUGGGAGAGGGAUGCGGAAUUCCAGGUGUAGCGGUGAAAUGCGUAGAUAUCGUAAGGAAGACCAGUGGCGAAGGCGGGUCUCUGGACAGUUCCUGACACUGAGACACGAAGGCCAGGGGAGCAAACGGG
rnacentral:rRNA from 1 species